rnacentral:rRNA from 1 species
UACGUAGGGUGCGAGCGUUAAUCGGAAUUACUGGGCGUAAAGCGUGCGCAGGCGGUUUUGUAAGUCAGAUGUGAAAUCCCCGGGCUUAACCUGGGAACUGCGUUUGAAACUACAAGGCUAGAGUGUGGCAGAGGGGGGUGGAAUUCCACGUGUAGCAGUGAAAUGCGUAGAUAUCGGGAGGAACAUCCGUGGCGAAGGCGGCCACCUGGACCAACAUUGACGCUGAGGCACGAAAGCGUGGGGAGCAAACAGG